UACACAUGCAAGUCGAACGGUAACAGGGUGCUUGCACCGCUGACGAGUGGCGAACGGGUGAGUAAUAUAUCGGAACGUACCUAGUAAUGGGGGAUAACUAUCCGAAAGGAUAGCUAAUACCGCAUACGCCCUGAGGGGGAAAGAGGGGGAUCGCAAGACCUCUCGUUAUUAGAGCGGCCGAUAUCAGAUUAGCUAGUUGGUGAGGUAAAGGCUCACCAAGGCCACGAUCUGUAGCGGGUCUUAGAGGACGAUCCGCCACACUGGAACUGAGACACGGUCCAGACUCCUACGGGAGGCAGCAGUGGGGAAUCUUGGACAAUGGGCGCAAGCCUGAUCCAGCAAUGCCGCGUGCGUGAAGAAGGCCUUCGGGUUGUAAAGCGCUUUUGUUCGGGAGGAAAUCCUAGUGGCUAAUAUCCAUUGGGGAUGACAGUACCGGAAGAAUAAGGACCGGCUAACUACGUGCCAGCAGCCGCGGUAAUACGUAGGGUCCAAGCGUUAAUCGGAAUUACUGGGCGUAAAGGGUGCGCAGGUGGUUGAUUAAGUGUGAUGUGAAAGCCCCGGGCUCAACCUGGGAAUUGCAUUGCAAACUGGUCAACUAGAGUAUGGCAGAGGGGGGUGGAAUUCCGCGUGUAGCAGUGAA
rnacentral:rRNA from 1 species